GCCCGGCUCGCUCAGUUGGUAGAGCAUGUGACUCUUGAUCUCAGGGUUGUGAGUUUGAUCCCCAUGUUGGGUG
rnacentral:tRNA from 1 species